CAGCUGCAGUGCCAGGAGGGGGAGGGGGGGUGAGUUUUGGGGUGAAAUCCUGGGAAUUUGGGGGGGAAGGGGUGAAAGUCACCCCCAAAAUGUCACCCGGGGGGGUCACCCCAAAAAAAUGUCAGGAGGGGAAAAACUGGGAAAAAAAGGAGCCAAAAUUGGGAAAAAAGGAGACAAAAGUGGGGAAAAAGGAGACAAAAGUGGGGAAAAAAGGAAACAAAAGUGGGGAAAAAAGGAGACAAAAGUGGGAAAAAAGGAGCCAAAAUUUGGAAAAAAAAGGAGCCAAAAUUGGGGAAAAGGGAGGAAAAAAAAAUGGAACGAAGGGAAUGGAAGGGUUAAAAAAAAAGGUUGGAAAAAGGGUGAAAAAAGAAGGGCAAAAAGGGAAAUGGAGAGAAAAAAGGAAUGAGAGGAUAAAAAAGAAAAGAAAGAAAAUAAAAAAAAGGGAAAUGAAAGAAAAAGGACCCCCCAAAAAAGAGGAAAAAAAGGGGAAAUGAGCCAAAAAAAGGAGAAAUGAAAGGCCCCAAAGCCGAGGGGGGAGGAGGAGGAGGAGGAGGAGGAUGGGGAGGAAGAGCAGGAUCAGGAGCUGUUCUGGUUCUGGUAAAUCGACGCCUUCUCCUUGAGCAGGUCCAGGCAGAGGUGGCAGCUCCAGCUCCCUGCAAGGCAGUUAAUGAAGCAGUUAAUUAAUGAAGCAGUUAAUUAAUGAAGCAGUUAAUUACCCAUUAAUUAACCAGUUAAUGAAGCAGUUAAUGAAGCAAUUAAUCACGGGGGUUAAUGAGAGAGGAGGGGAAUGGGGAGGGGAAGGAGGGAGAGGAGGAGGAAGAGGAAGAGGAGGAGGAGAACAAAAAGGAGGAAGAGGAGGAGGAAGAAAAGAGGAGGGAAAGGGGAAGGAAGGAAGAGGAAGAAGAGCAGGAAAAAGAGGAGGAAGAGGAGGAGGAGG
rnacentral:lncRNA from 1 species